rnacentral:rRNA from 1 species
UACGUAGGGGGCAAGCGUUGUCCGGAAUCAUUGGGCGUAAAGCGCGUGUAGGCGGCCCGGUAAGUCCGCUGUGAAAGUCGGGGGCUCAACCCUCGAAUGCCGGUGGAUACUGUCGGGCUAGAGUGCGGAAGAGGCGAGUGGAAUUCCUGGUGUAGCGGUGAAAUGCGCAGAUAUCAGGAGGAACACCGGUGGCGAAGGCGGGUCUCUGGGCCGUAACUGACGCUGAGACACGAAAGCGUGGGUAGCAAACAGG